CUCAGCAAUAGGAAUUCCAUGCAGGACUCCCCGUGGUGACAUGUUGAAUCCAGCCUGAGCUGGAUUUCCAAAAGAACGAUGAUGAACUUCGGGAAGAUGGCGAGGAGCUUCCAAAGAAGCUGUUACUGACUGACUGAAUUUAGAUCAUUGGUGAUUAGCUCCACUUACAGAAAUCUGUCAGAUGUAAAUAUUGAUUAUGGUCAACUGAAGAAUUUCAAGAAAUUCAAAAAGGUCACGUUUCCCGGAGCAGGAAAACUGCCACACAUCAUUGGAGGAUCAGAUCUAAUAGCUCAUAAUGCUCGAAAGAAUGCGGAAUUGGAAGAGUGGCUAAGGCAGGAGAUGGAGGGGAAGAGAUGGAGAGAUC